ensembl:lncRNA
CUCUGGUCAGGGGCUGAAUGGAGAGAUGAGUCCAGUUAAAGUAAAAUGAAGAUGAAGUGCUGCUAGAAAAAUCCAGCAGCUGGCCAGCUGUCUCUUCAAUGCUCUGAAGAUUCCCAGCUGAUACUGGAAAGGGGAGACAAAGGGAAAAUAAGCCUCACAGUUUGAAGCCAGGUCCAAAUGGCAAACCAACAUAUGCAUGGCCUUGUCUGCAGUCUGGGGAGUGUUUUGUUGGCUUCCCUUGGUGUGUUACCACAUUCCACCCAAGAGUAAAUCUGCUGGUUAGCGCUGGAUCCUCCUGCUCCUACAGCUGAAAGAAAAGGCUUCAGAGGCAUUCUCUUUUACAGCACCUUCCCCAGCCAUGUGGAAAAGAGCUGCUGCAGGGUUCCUGAGAUCCAGUAGCCAGGUGGGAUGGAAAGGGAGCUCCAAGCAAAACAAUGAUGAUGAACAACCUCAGUGGGCUUGGCUCACCUGGCAGGUGAAUUUGCUGAGCUCUGUCCAAGGAUGUGCUAAUGGGAGCUUGAGGGUAAGCAGCACCAAUGAACUAAUACAAAGUUUGUGUGUAAAAUGUAUUUACCAGUUCUGUUGCCAAGGAAAGUCAAGUUAAAAGCAUUCUAGAUCAUUUCUAUGAUUUGGAUUUUCUGAGUUCAGUUUGGGCAUAGAUUUAAUACCAAAUUUUAGGUGAAUUCUCCAGGAUAGUUUAACUCAUUUCGAUGUAGCAAAAUUAUGUAGUACAGUGAAUGAUAACUAAAUGCUGUUUGGAACAACAACAAAAAUUAAUAAAUAAGGAAAAUAUAUAAUUUUAUUGGAGUAG